rnacentral:rRNA from 1 species
GAUUGAACGCUGGCGGCAGGCCUAACACAUGCAAGUCGAACGGUAGCACAGAGAGCUUGCUCUUGGGUGACGAGUGGCGGACGGGUGAGUAAUGUCUGGGAAACUGCCCGAUGGAGGGGGAUAACUACUGGAAACGGUAGCUAAUACCGCAUAACGUCUUCGGACCAAAGUGGGGGACCUUCGGGCCUCACACCAUCGGAUGUGCCCAGAUGGGAUUAGCUAGUAGGUGGGGUAAUGGCUCACCUAGGCGACGAUCCCUAGCUGGUCUGAGAGGAUGACCAGCCACACUGGAACUGAGACACGGUCCAGACUCCUACGGGAGGCAGCAGUGGGGAAUAUUGCACAAUGGGCGCAAGCCUGAUGCAGCCAUGCCGCGUGUAUGAAGAAGGCCUUCGGGUUGUAAAGUACUUUCAGCGGGGAGGAAGGCGAUGGAGUUAAUAGCUUCAUCGAUUGACGUUACCCGCAGAAGAAGCACCGGCUAACUCCGUGCCAGCAGCCGCGGUAAUACGGAGGGUGCAAGCGUUAAUCGGAAUUACUGGGCGUAAAGCGCACGCAGGCGGUCUGUCAAGUCGGAUGUGAAAUCCCCGGGCUUAACCUGGGAACUGCAUUCGAAACUGGCAGGCUAGAGUCUUGUAGAGGGGGGUAGAAUUUCCAGGUGUAGCGGUGAAAUGCGUAGAGAUCUGGAGGAAUACCGGUGGCGAAGGCGGCCCCCUGGACAAAGACUGACGCUCAGGUGCGAAAGCGUGGGGAGCAAACAGGAUUAGAUACCCUGGUAGUCCACGCCGUAAACGAUGUCGACUUGGAGGUUGUGCCCUUGAGGCGUGGCUUCCGGAGCUAACGCGUUAAGUCGACCGCCUGGGGAGUACGGCCGCAAGGUUAAAACUCAAAUGAAUUGACGGGGGCCCGCACAAGCGGUGGAGCAUGUGGUUUAAUUCGAUGCAACGCGAAGAACCUUACCUACUCUUGACAUCCAGCGAAUUCGGUAGAGAUACCUUAGUGCCUUCGGGAACGCUGAGACAGGUGCUGCAUGGCUGUCGUCAGCUCGUGUUGUGAAAUGUUGGGUUAAGUCCCGCAACGAGCGCAACCCUUAUCCUUUGUUGCCAGCGGUCCGGCCGGGAACUCAAAGGAGACUGCCAGUGAUAAACUGGAGGAAGGUGGGGAUGACGUCAAGUCAUCAUGGCCCUUACGAGUAGGGCUACACACGUGCUACAAUGGCGCAUACAAAGAGAAGCGACCUCGCGAGAGCAAGCGGACCUCAUAAAGUGCGUCGUAGUCCGGAUUGGAGUCUGCAACUCGACUCCAUGAAGUCGGAAUCGCUAGUAAUCGUAGAUCAGAAUGCUACGGUGAAUACGUUCCCGGGCCUUGUACACACCGCCC